rnacentral:lncRNA from 1 species
GACGUGGCGCUCGCACAUCGCAGAUUUUGCUGGUAAAAUUUGUGCCUCUUUUCUGUGCCACACGGAGUAUUGCCCCCAUGCACAAUUGCU